GGAGGCUUGGCUGGGAAGGAGAGGAGUGGCAGGGUGGGAGAAAGAACGGUGGUGAGUUUGAAGGAAAGAUUUUAACUGUAAAGGAAGCAGCUUGAGGACGCGCCCUGAUUCCACAGGGGACCCAGAUGGGGUAGAGACGGAGAGGCUGGAUGCUCACAAAGGCAGAGGCCGAGAGGGAGCAAGCCCGGCUGGGCUGGGAUGUGUGGAGUGCGCUGGGCGUGCGGUCAGUCCUGAGGUGGCGAAGGGGAGCACGGCUUUUCCUUUGAGCCUGAAGGGAACAAGGCUCCCCGAGGGUGGGACGUGGUUUUCUCUUCCUCUGGCCUCUUCCCGAACUCAGCUCUCAUUUCCGAGCACAGAGAAGCCCACCGGUGCAUCACAGGUUACUUGACAAGGUGGGGAUUUGAUCCCGUAAGGCGUGUUCACACCGAUUUACGCCCAACUCUGAAGGCCACUUACAAGUCACACACAUCCCGUCUUGAAGCCAAGAGCCAGCCUCCGGAUUGCACUCUGCCAUGCUUCUCCUCGGCUGACAUUCUGGGCCUCCCACAGCUGGGCAGCAUUGUGUGUUUCCCUGUAGCACAACACGUCCGCAACCCAUUACCCCACUGCUCGGGGGAGAUGGGCUCAGCCUCCUUUUUGCUCAUUUCCUGAAGUAGGAAAAGCAACGACCUCCAGUGAGGAUGGGCGACUUUGUUUCUCUUACAUCCUCAGAUCUCCUGCCCACCAAGACAUUUCUACAUUGACUCGCAGGUCCUUUCAGCUUUGUGGGCACCGAACAACAUGCAGGGGAGCAGGGGCCAGGACACAGCCAGGAUCGACAAAGCUUCCAGUGUCCUCACAGCAAGCUGUACCGAUGAACCCCAGUUCGGCCAAGGUCAUCAGACCACAGCUGAGCUCUUCUGGAAGUUGGCACAGGGGGACACUGAAACAGUCAGUGUGCAGAGUUUAUGAGAAUGAGCUGAUCCCCACACGCAGGAGUCUUCUAGAUGGGCAACAUGCCCCCAAAGGUUUCAUGUAUGAUGAAAACUCAGAAUUUUCACACUUUCACCUAUGAAUGGAAUUAAUCCGCAGCUUGGAAAUGCAACGUUGAUUCAUAUAUGGUAAUUGGCUUACAUUUAUAGCUUGCAUUAAAAUGUUAAAAGUUGUUUAAUGGGGUCUAAUAACACAGAUUCUGCUUCUAGACUUCUGAAAAUACCUGCAUGGAUUUGCUUGUCCUUUAGUAUAACAUGACACCAGUAAACAGGUGGCUGCAAGUGGCCUGUAAGCUUAACGGACAGCCGAAGAGUGUUUAGCCCAGAGUCCUGGCAUGGUGACCACUGGCUCUGCAUGUCUGCCUCUUAUAUAAGUCAGGUCCUUAGAUUUGGGAGCAGCACUCCACGGAUCUCAGAACGGCAUAGACUCUCAGCAGAAUGAUCAGAUAGUGUCUGAAUGACUUUGCUGCCUUCCCACAUGGGUGGUCACCCAUUGUAAUUUACAGGGAUUAUAAGAAACAAUGUUAACCCGGGGAUAACUAUGGUGUGUGUUUCUCUUAUUGCUUUCUAGUAACUUACGCACAUACAGCAUGGAAAAUCUAUACUGUCUAGUUUUAUAUCUCUUUUUUCCCCCACAUAAUAUCCUUUUAUAGGCAUAUCUCCUAUACAUUGAAAGGCCUCAGUGCUAUAGUUCACCUUACCAAUGUACCACUAAUGUAUUUAUCUUUUCCUGAUGUUUGCCAUGAACAAUGUUUCCAUUUUUGCCACAGUAAACAAUGUUACAGACACGG